UGUAAACCGAGCCCAUUACAAAUUCCACCUCUUCGCAUUAAGAGCUUAGCCAGGUUGCUGCUUCUCCAGCCGGCCCUCUUCGGCAGACGGAUGUCUCCUACGACGGCAGAACCUCCUCCAUCUUAAAACCCGCCUGUUCUUUUCCGCUCUUCCGUUCGCUUCCGACCGGUUUGGUGAAACGGUCCCCCCGGCCUGAUCUACCUCCGAAUAAAAACGCCGCGAUGUUCGACGCUGAACGCGGACGCGCAAGAUGUCACGCGUCCCCUUCGACGAGAGGAGGAGGAAGAGGAAGAUGUGUGUUCCUGCGCCUCCACUACCAGCGCACAAUGGUGUCUCUUGUCCGGAGGCUUCAAGCUGGCCGACCGCUCCAGGGGAACGAUUAGGGGUAACUCACUAACGCAAGACUUAAUCUUAUUCCGAAACUUUUCCAAAAAACUUUUUUUGUUGUAAGUUGUACGAAUUAUUCUGAAUUGAUCAGCCUGGUCAGUUGUUUCUUUGUCUCCGCUACAUGAUCAGCCUUUGCAAGUAAAGUUGAUGUGUUAACUAUUUAUUUAACCUUGAAGAAAAAAACUGCCAUAACUACACCACGUAUGGAGAACAAAACAGGCCGGUUGUGUGAGACCUGUAGGUAUCGCAUGUAUUCUGAUCACGGUUUCAGGGAAGUCGGGCAACUCCAUGGGAACAGCACAAUAAAAUCGUAUCAGGUUUUUUGAUCUAUUUGAACAGGAAUAGGGACAGAAAUAAAAGAAUAAGCACAAACAAUAGUUUGCAAACGUUCAUUCCUUGACUGGAUAGACCAGUUUGGGCAGGUAGAGGCAAACAGUCAGACUUGUCAAAGGCUAUAAGGAGUGGAGCCCUCCUUCUGCAGUUCUGACGAUUAAAACGCAACAGUGUCACGGCAACAGUAGUACCCUGACAAAUGAUAGCUCAAUUCAUGUAAUUUAACUUUUCAGAUUUCAGAGCAGAAUGAUUAUUAAGCUGAGGAAAUGUUAUGUGUAAAUACCGUUUUCACUUUUUUUGAAAAGUUGAACUGUUUCCAGCCAAAAUAGUAGAAUCAGUUCCACCUGAUUAUAUUAUAUAAUAUAUGUAGUAUAUUAUGGUAUAUUUUGACAUAUGAUCCUUUCAGCUGAAUAUAUGUUUGUUGGCUUUUUCGCUAAAGGACGUGUUGAAUGAGAGUAUCGUUCACUUCCUCGCGCUACGUUCGACCGCUGUGCUUUACGUCUUGAAAAGUCGACAGUCACAAAGAGACUUUGGACAGGCCUGCCCUUACUCGUUUCUUCUGACAAUGAUUAGAAAGGAAUUAGGCAAAAUAAGCUCUGCUUUUCCUACUGUUUGAUGUGUGGAAAAAAAGGGGAAGUUAAUUGUAAACUGCGGCCGUAAGCCUGUGGAGGUAAAAUGUCGGCUCGUCCAUUUUCUUGGGAGAUCCCUCGGGGCUUGUAUUGAGAUGUCAGGAUUGGAAGCGUCGUUUGUUGUUGCGAGUUCUAACCCUCACGAUACCGAGAGAAGCGUUGUCCCGAGACAGAUCGGGAGUGUGAUAUUUGAUGUUUUGUUAUUGGCUGGGGUAAAAUGGAGUGUCGUUUUCCUAGUUCUGGAAGUGAGCGGCGAGGUGGAGCCUUUUGAUUGGUGGAGGGAGAAAAAAGAAUGCGCUUUUCUUUUUAACGAAUUCUAAAAUGACGACUGGGUCGUUAUUUAUGGUUGCAUUAUGUAAUUCGCAUUUUCUGGGGCAUUGGAAAAGAAUGUAUAUUCAUUACGCGAUAAUAGUGCAAAUACUGGCUUGAGGAAAAAUGUGUUUGUUUCAGCUGAAACUCCAGUGGCAACCUGUUGAUGCAGAGAGAAUGUACCUGCUAGUUAGCUCACCGGGUUUUUUUUAACCCAAUGAGGUCAAAGAGAAGGAAAGGCUGCUUUAAUUACUGCUUUAGGGUCAGAGGUCAGAUACCUACAUGGAUUGGUUUGUGUGGUUGACGAUAGCCAUUUCAUCAGUCUGACUAAACAGCCUAGUCACAACUGGAUGUGUAUGUGAAAAGUUAAAAAAAACUUUUUUUUUGUUUAAACUAAACUGAACUUUAGCUCAAUUUAUGAACUGUCAUUCGAUCAGAGUUCAGAUAAAAAAGGAAAGUUGAAAGCUGUCAGUUUAUAAGUGAAUGUUUUCACAAUUUUGAAAGAUGGAAGAAGAGGAAGUCAUUUCACACAUCAGUUUCAAAUAAGCAAUUUGGGGACAACAUCAGUCUGAAUUAGCUUUUAAUAUAACCAUAGAUAUUAAAUAAAUAUAUAAAAGAAAAUACAAUGUGCACACUGAAGGUUACUGUCUGUGGAAAAUCUCAAAUUAAAGGGGGAACAGAGCAAUUACACGCUUCCCUUUCUUUCAGGAAAUGAUUGCACAUCACCGAUACAUGAAGGAAAGUAGGGAAUGUGCAGAUUUUAAAAUGUUUUUAAUAUAUUCAAAUUCCUGCUAUGCAAAUGAGCUACUGCUCAUUCAUCCAGAUGAUAUAUUCAAACCAGUAAGCGAAAGGAAUGAAAACACAGUGGUGACAAGGGGUGAGCAACAGGAAAUAAAGUUUGAAAGAAAAAAUAUAUACAACAAUAUAUUAUUUAAUAUGAUAUAUUUAAUAAUAUAUUAAACCCAAUGAAAAAUAUAUACAAAAGAAUGAUAGCUACAAAUAAACAUAUUUAGCGUUAAAAAAAAUCUAAUCAAAGACCUGCAAAUACAUCUACAGACCUAGAAUAUGCAGGCAAGUGGAUGGAAUUAAGGCAUGUGGAUGGAAUUAAGAUGUGUCAGAUAAGUACCCAAGAUAAUAAUAUAAGACCCGAUAUAAAACAGGGUGUUUUGGUGUUUCUGUUGCGUUCUCCUUCUCGCAGUUGCUCGUUGUCGAUUAAGGUGCAUUUUGGUUUAUCUCACAGUUUGUUCAUUUCAUAGCAGAGGCACAUUCCAAUGAGCGCCAGCCACACAAAGCUCAGGAAAGAAAGAAAGAAAGAAAGAAAGAAAGAAAGAAAGAAAGUAAAAUAAAUAAAAUGGUGGAAGGGGUCAACCUUCACCUGAAAUACUUAAAAAAGGAAAACAGAUUCAGACACUAUGCACAUAUUCAGAUGAGAGCAGAGAGUAAUAGAAAUGCCAUUGGACAGAGCACAGUGUCAAGAGGUCAGGUAAUAUUUUCAGCUAAAUAGUGCUCUGCAACAAUUGGAGCCAUUUUGCCUCCUUUGCCUCCUUUGAUAUUUAUUCUCAUGUCUGUCUCAAUCUCUUUCUAUCUCUUUUUCUGUCUCUUUCUCUGUCACUCUCUCUCCCUCUCCCUCUCCCUCUCUCUCCCUCUCUCAGGCCUGCAGCACUGGUUUAUAAUGCUGAUGAUUAACUAACAGGAGGGCUGCAGUCUGGGAGUGCAGGUCUGCUUUUGGGGUUUUCCAUUUCACAGGUCCUGACUGACCCAGAGGAAGCAGGAGCGUUCUCAGGCACUUGCUGGAAAUUUGAGAUUUUUUUUUCUUCUUUUUUCCCCCCUCACUCACUUUUUUUUGUUUUGUUACAUUCUUUACUUGGGUUCUAUUCACAACGGUAAGGUUACAGGUGUUCUCUCAGCUCUCGUUCUCAACCUCUCCUCCUUUUGGCUCUCCCUCCUGCCUCCCACCUUUUCUCUCUCUCUCUCCCUCCCUAUCCUUCUUUCACUCUCUCUCUCUUUCUUUCUUUCAGCCUCACUCAGGUUUGCUUUUUUGCAUGACUGCUAAAAUCCACUAGCUCCCCCAUUCGCACAUGCUGCUCUCUCUCUCACAUCUAGGUUUGUAUUCUGUGCUAGCUUUAACCAUGUCACAAAUCCAGUUCACAAAGGAUUCAAAAGAGACGGAUAAUUGUAUAACAUUGCUUGUGUGUUAUUCAGUUAUGAGGACUGAAACAAUCAUUUUCGGGUGGCGAAUUAAAGCGCUUUUACUGCAGAGUUUGGAUGAGUAGGUUGCUGGUUGAGGCAGAAUGCAUUUAGAUGAUAGAGCAAUCGGAAUAAUACGACCAAAACCAUUAACUUAAAACAGUAAUCAUUGCGAUGUCAAAAAGACGACGUUACCAUACCAGUGGCAUGGAGGACAUGCACUACCGUUUCAAUGUAAAUAUAGUAAGCGGGCUUAGACUCUCUGAAAACAUACUCUGUAAUGUUUCUAGUCUGUGCAAGUUUUGCUCUUCGACACUCGUGUAUAGCACUCGAGUGCAUGCAGACUGCGCGUGUGGUUUAAUAUUGGGCACCCGUGUACCUAUGAGGUUACUCAGUAAGCUGUACGCGGUGAAGUGACCCUCUUUCUCUGUGCUCGGACACAUUCCAUCAGUCCUCUGUCACGCCACAAACGCACAGAGGUGAAGAUUUCAGAUAUUUUGCACAUUAUAGUUGGACCAGUCUGCAAAAGAAUUUUAAACUCGACAAAUUCAUUUCAAUUCUGGACUUGCAAUUCAUGACUCUGUGACUGAAGUAUGCUCCUGCUUUUAACCUUUUCUCUGCUUUUAAUUAUUGUUACACCUCUGUCUCAUUCCCCAUUUGAUGUUUGUACAUUUUGUUAGGUGUAAGUCUUGUAACUCUGUGUUUCAUGUCAGGUCCCCCUUGCAAAAGAGAUUUCAGUCUCAAUGGGGUUUUUCCUGGUUAAAUAAUGGUUAAAUAAAAAUAAAAAUAAAUUUUGUGAGGUAAAGGCCUGAUUUUUAGAACGCCUUCGUAUACUGACUGGGAGGGCUGAAGGUUAUAAAUACUAACUGCAGUUUUCUUUGUUGUCAAUUCGGGGAAAUAACAUUUCAUAUGAGUUGAUUGAUAACAAAUAUUAGUGAAUAAAUGUGUUCUGGACAGUAUAACUCUGAAAGAAAAUAUGCUGUGUUGUUGUUGGAGUAAAAGGCCCAUCUGUUUUAGCGGUUUUGUUUUGAAACGAAAGACGGUUAGAUUUUUUUUUCUAAGCAGUGCUGGUGUUUCAAAUUAUUGUCUGUGAAAAUGGCGCGUGUGUCUUUGUGCAGCAUUCUGAAAGCGUUAUUCAUCUUUUAUCAGUAAGACAAUGAUGACGUUAAUCCCCGAAACAACGCAGAAAGAGCUACCCUUAGACACCACAGGGUAAAUUUCACGGGCAGGGCGCGCGGAGAGAGAGCGUUGUUCUUUUGUCGUGGGCGCGGGAAGCCGCCCUAGCCUCCCCGGCCUCGCCUGUGUCAUAAAAGGAGACCGGUCAGAUCAGGUUCGGGGGCAAAUAAUUAACAGAGUCUCGUAGCCCCGCUUUGCUCUGCGAUUCUGCAGCCUCCGCGUCAGGCCGAACAAAGCGGAACAAAGACGGGAGGGAGUCACGCGUACGCUGCGUGUGUGCCUGCCGUGCCGAGCGCCAGGUCUAUUUUCAGCUCGCCGAGCCCCACGUAGCGUAGCGUAGCAUAGCAUAGCUUAAUGUAGCAUAGUGUAGCGUAGCUUAACAUAGCAUAGCGUAGCAUAGCGUAGCGUAGCGUAGCGUAGCUUAACAUAGCAUAGUGUAGCAUAGCGUAGCGUAGCAUAGCGCAGCGGCGAGCGGCGGCGAUUGUCGGCUGUGUUUGUACACAGCGCCCGCUCUCUCUCAGCCCGAGGCCAGGUGACUUAUUGAAACAGGUGUGAGACGUCUGUGUCUCUGUGUUGUUGCGUGGCGUGCGUUUCAUCCUGCUCUUUGAAAAAAAGAAAAAAAAAAAAAACAGGAUGUUGUGUUCGGCGAGUCCGGACAAGGAAAGAUGCACGCUGUUGAUAUGAUAAACAUGGAGAGAAUUAAAAUAAGGGCAUUGUGGGGAUGAGGGGAUCAAAGGGCUAGGCUGCAGGGGCUGAGGUUUGGGGGUGUUGUGUGAAUCCCCUGUCCUGGAACUGGUGACUCACUAAGGGAGAUGCUAGCUUUUUCAGCAGAGAAUGCACAGCUAUUAUUUAUUUAUUUUUGCUAGGGACAUAACUGCAGACAUACCUCUGUGUUCGUGCUUUCUAAGAUUUCUUAUAGACUUGAUUUUUUUCUUUCUUCCACUUGAGCAAAAUCCUACAUUGGAACACAAAAGCUGUUUCUAUGGCUAGUCCAACAGAAGCUGUAGGAACAUGAUUCGGAGAAUAUUUUACUUUCUUUAUAUUGUUAAACACUUAAUGCCGUGCUCUGUGUUGUUCUAAUGUUCACAUAUCUUAUUUGUAUCGUAAAUGUCUGUUUUUAUUGCAUUGUCCAUAUGUAAUACGUCGACACCCUGUGAUUGGACGGUUGUCUCCAUCUUACGAGGCAGCAUUUGAUGGCAUGCUUCUCUCUAAUACUGCCUGGUAAUGAUGACGACAGUCCUCCACUGGCUUCGAUGGGACGGCAGGGCGGGACGCUGCCCAACCCAGUACAGCUCCGCUCGGGCCGACGGUCCUAUUCUCAUUCGGUCUUACUCAGGGUAACGUGACACAGCACACAAUGCCAGCCCCGUUUUAAAAUGGACCUUGGCGCGUACAGGUAUGGUACCGAGACAGACAGGGGGUCUUGGAGACAGGUCUCCCUUCGCUCAGCACGUACUGUUUUUGAACGCGUUCGUGUUUACUGAAGACGGACUGUUUUCGCGCGCGUCUGUCUCCUGUGACGUCAGCCUUUGACUCCAACACCUGACACUGGCUUCCUGCGUCCAUCUUACCUGACAGUGCUGGACUGUACCUGUGUGAUCUAACACUGUCUGGUAACGAUGUUCGCCGGGGGACCUACGGGCGGCGAGAGGCUCCGUUCACCUGGCCUGCGCUCACCUGGCGGCGCUCGAUGUCACUGGUCAGGUGUGACCGUGUCACCUGCACUCAGUGACAUCAGCGGAUCACCAUGCAGCUCUGAUUUUUUCUUUUUUUGUCUGCUCUACUUACUGCUACAGUCAGGGAAAAGCAGGAGUUUAACUAAUGUGGCCAAUGGCAGGUUUAACAAGGUUGGGGUUUUCUCUGGUCAUUCUUGUGUUUUAUACAUUAUGUCUGUGUGUCAAAAAACUAACCUUAACAUUUUAUAAUCAUGAAAUGAAUUAUUAUUUCUCCUAUAGUAUCCGUAGGGCGGUGGGCCUGUUGUUAAUGCACAAGCCCUUAUGUAAAUUUUUAUGGUGUCCAAAGCAUGUUCAUUUCUGUCCAGUUCAUAAAUAUACAGCCAAUAUGCAGCCUCCUCAAGGCCUUGUCUCUAUGGAAACAGGAACAGACUGACACAUAAGUCUGUUCCUAUAGACUUUAUGUCAAUAGUCUACACAAAUGUCAGGAGUUUGCGACAAUUUUUCUUGGUGAUGUUUGUUAGAUUUUUUUUUUAUACCAGUUUUUUCUUUGGAGAUCAGGUUAUGAGAAGUAAAAUGGCAAAUGUAAAUGUAAUAAAUUCUAAAAGGCUAAAUACUCGAAAGGAGUUUAAACUGCCCACACUUGGGUAACAAUAACGGGUAACAUAAUUUCAGGUUACAAGACAAAGAGAUAGUGAGAAGUAUAGCAUAACAGCCUUCAAACCACAGUACACAAUAAAAGCAAAAAGGCAAAGAAAAUUAAGUUACAGAAAAUUGGACUGAAGACAAAUGGCAGCCCAUUAUAUCUUUUGUUAGUUUCUCAUUGAACUUUCAUAGCUCCAGUACAACCCUGCAGUCUGUAAUGCAUGCAAAAGUGGAUCUAGACUCCAGUAAGAUAGAACAUGGAGUCUUUGUUCUUAUCAGGAACUAAUUACUUCCCUGACAGCUGAUUUUAUCACCUAAUUUUAAUACAAAAAUGUAUCCAUGCGCUAUUUAAGUCUUGAAUUAUAUAUCCAAGAUUGAAAUAGGUCAGCAAGUGCACUGACAUUAGUUCAGUAGCUUAAAAUGAUGGCCGUUAAGUUCUGUUUGUAUUGAAAUAGAAGAAAACGAGAGGAAGGACGUGGCUCCGGUUUUGGCCCCAGUGAAGAGAAAGGCUAGAGAGAGAGAGGGAGAGGGGGUGGGACAGAGAGGGAGAGAUUUGGGGCUGUAUGCGUGACUUCUUUGUCCCGUAAGAUAAUUUGCUUCUCUGCUUCUUUUAUUGGCGUUCUACCCAACCCUGCUUUGGCUAAAGAGCACCAGUCUGCUGACGGUUGGUCCCCCAGCUUCCUGAAAGGUGUUUCAGGAAGCUGGGGGAGGGAGGGGGGAGUUAGGAGGAACUUCCUCUUCCCAUAAACCCCCCCCCCCCCCCCUCGGGCACAUGCCUCUUUGAUGUGUGGCUGUGGUUGAUCCAUUUUCCCUCCGUUCCCCCACUUAGCACGUACUGAAACUGACAUCUGAGCACAUGAGCCUUUGGUGACAAUAAUAGGUAUGACAUCAUCACCUUUGACUCCGCCCUGUCCUUUCGAUGUGUUCCUAACGGACGAUACGACUGUGCCUAUCAACGGCUGUCGUUCCGCUGCGAGUUUAAAACCUGGUUAGCGGCGAUUUUAGUGAGAGCGUUUCAGAGCUAUACCUCACUGGUCCUGCUGUCUUAAAGUCGUCUAAAAUAACUUUUAUUUCCUCUUUUUCUUUUCGAUACAGAAAUGUAUCACAAUCAUGCGAGCGAAGCUCCCAUCUGAAGGCAGACACACUGGCAGGCUAUAAAGCAGCUACGUGGCCAUUAGCAUGUUUGUUUAAGGAGGGACUCCACCGUGUGCUCGGCUGCACCACACCUUUAUUUGCAGAGGUAGUCCACCUUUUUUUUUUUUCGUUAAACACUGUACAGUGUGUCAUAUGCCGAUGAGAGUUGGAACACGGUAGUUCGCCAAUAAAGGCAAUUCGUUGAAAUUUUACGACAGGAGUUCCGCGAGAGGGAGGGGCCUGGGGCCCUCGGGUACAACCUAACCUGCUGGUCGGAACAUUCUGUCCAUCCUCUCACUCUUCUGUCAACACUUCACUUGCUGUUUUUCCUUUAUCACUUUUCCCGUUGGGUCACUUUUUGAAUCAAUCGCAGCCAGCCAAUAUCAAUUUCAAAGUAUUACAGUAUUUAUUCAUAAUUUGCUGUCUGUUCAUGUUUAGCCUUGGUAAUAUAUCUUCCGAAUUAACAUAGUACACCUCUGUUUGUGAACAGAACAAAGAACAAAGAUUGAUAAAAAAACGAAUACUUACAUAGUUGAAUGUUUACUAUGAUAUUUAAACAGGGUAAACUAACAGCUAAAUGAAGAACAGAAUAGCUGAUGCAGAAGAUAUAUAUAUAUCUUAUAUAUAUUAUACAUUUUACAUACUUGUACAUAUCAUGACAUAUGCGUGCCUGCAAAACUCUUUUUCUCCUCUGCUGUCUUACUUGUGCUGUAGGUCAAAGGUCACAGAACAGCCCGCACAACCCCUUUGAGUGCGACCGAGCCUGACGAUUGGUGUCUUACCAGACAUGGUUAGAUCUAGAUAUCUGUGUCUAAUACUGCCUGGUAAUGCCGCCCAUUGUAAGGCGUGACCUCCUUCGUCUCUCUGUCUUUCUGUGUGACACGGUGAAGAUAAGAGUAGGUUUUUCUGGAGUGGUUUUUUUUUUUUUCUUCAAAAUUCCAAGUCAGUGUUCUAGAACUCCCUUGCUUUCAUUUGCCAGUAGUGACGGUUACAUCAGCGUUGGAAUGUUCAGCGAAGAACGUUCUAAUCUCAUACUUGUGAUCUUACGCCUUUGAAGGCUCCGUCCACAAUCAGUUAUUAGCUACAUGCGGUGAGCGACAGGUAAGAUGCACGGAAUUCCGCACGGUAACAGCACAGUGAUGCAGGCGAACCUGGAAGUGAAAACAGUUGGCGCUAGGGGGGGGUGACGACCGCGGCGAGCGCGCUGAAGAUAAUGACCGAAUGAACUAUGAACCACGCGCUGGAAGAGUGGCAUAUUCGCUCUGACUUCCAUGUGCCUGGUGUCAGAGUUUAGCCCCGAAACAACGCUGCAGUGUUUCCAAACCAGCCCGCAGAAACCUUAUUCUGAAAGCGUAAUAAAGGGAAGUGCAUCUUAGCUGUGGCAGAAUUCUGAAUAUGCAAUAAGCACGAUACACUGUGUACUGUACUAACUUCCCACGAUCUGCCCUUGCCCAAUAACACCGCACUGUCUGAUGAUGUUAUGAUGUUAUUUAGAAGAGUAGGCACUGUUUGUUGUUUGUAAUAAAAUCAUAACAUCAUAUAGUUAUUAUUGUACAUAGGUUCAUGUGGUGAUGCCUUUCUGUUUUGUUUUCUUCUUUCUGAUUUUCCUUUCUGAUCUACUACUACUCUCUCAAUAUAUUUUAUUUAUUAAUUAAUUUUUCGUUCAGUGCUUAUUUUUGCUUUGUGCCCAAGCGCCAAUGACAGCAUGGUUGGUAUGUACGCAAUUAGUUUGAUAUUUGCCCCAACAAAUGCAUUCCUUCACAUUUGUGGGUGCAAGUACCUCGGUAAGAGGAAUUAGCUUGUUUUGCUUUUAUCAUUUGGUGAACAUGUUGUCACAUAUGAAUAUGAAUAUUUCUGUUCAUGUGAUAAUUUGAGGCCACAUCUUUUAACACAAGCUCUUUCCCAUUGAGCCAAAGUUUUGAUGUCAACUUUUGUUCAUAAUCCAUUACAAAUAACUUAAUUCAAUUGUGAAUGAGUCUAAUUAGAAAGUAAAGGUCAGAGCAGAGCACUAAAACAGCUUGUCAGCUGAGCAUUAAUUCUAAUGGUAUUAACCUUUCUGCAAAGCGAUCUCCGUAAAUCAUUAUCUGGUUCUCUCCAGAAAGACUAGGCCUGACAAUGAGCCCUUGGUGUUGUCAUGGUUACAAGUUUCCACAUGGGAACAAAGGCAGCAGUAUAGCAGUCAAUGCUCAGAGCUACUGUACACUAAAUGUUACCAAAUCAUACAUUUCCAUCUGACUGACUUUUAAGCAUAUUAACCUGAUGGUUUGUCCAGACCAGCUAGCUUCCUCGAGCUAAAGAUAACCUGAAAAUGUGUGAAUAAUGAUAACAAUAAAAUACGAUUUAAUGAGAACAUGUUUUUGACUACAUCUAUUUUAUUCCCUACUUUUAACAAGUUAUUAUAUGGUUUGAAAUAUCUAAGCUUGAAUCUGGUCAUUUAUAACAUAUUUACCUUCCACAAAUUAUUUAUGUAUGUACUGUAAAAUAAAUGUGGUCAGAGAAAAAAUAAAAUGAUUUUAUGCGAA